rnacentral:rRNA from 1 species
AUUGAACGCUGGCGGCAUGCUUUACACAUGCAAGUCGAACGGCAGCGCGGGCUUCGGCCUGGCGGCGAGUGGCGAACGGGUGAGUAAUACAUCGGAACGUGCCCAGUCGUGGGGGAUAGCUCGGCGAAAGCCGGAUUAAUACCGCAUACGACCUGAGGGUGAAAGCGGGGGAUCUUCGGACCUCGCGCUCUUGGAGCGGCCGAUGGCAGGUUAGCUAGUUGGUGGGGUAAAGGCCUACCAAGGCGACGAUCUGUAGCUGGUCUGCGAGGACGACCACCCACACGGGGACUGAGACACGGCCCAGACGCCUACGGGAGGCAGCAGUGGGGAAUGUUGGACAAUGGGCGAAAGCCUGAUCCAGCAAUGCCGCGUGUGUGAUGAAGGCCUUCGGGUUGUAAAGCACUUUUGGCGGGAACGAAAAGGACUGUGCCAAUACCACGGUUCGAUGACGGUACCCGCAGAAUAAGCACCGGCUAACUACGUG